CACCUCGACAUGCUCCUGGCGCGCCCACCUCUUGAUGGUCGACGGGGCCAGCGGGUCGACGAGAUGUACGGCAGCCGGCGGCACGACAAAGCGUCGCGCCGGCACGGGCUCGGACGAGAGUAUGUCGACGACGCCGCCGUAGCAAUCGGCUGACCAUACGUGUGGCCGUGCCAAUUCGACACGGCGCAUAGGCCACGUGACGCGGUCGGCAUCAGCCACGGUGACCAUGGUGCGCAGCACGCACGCGUCGCACACGUUGCGCGCGCGUGCAUCGCCCGGCAGCCCGUCGUCGCAGAUCCACUGGCGCACGCGUCGUUGUUCCAAAUGGCCACAGGCGUCACACCAGGCCACCAGCGGAUCGACCCACAGCGCGUCCCACGACGGCGACUUGCGCUCCCAGCGGUCGAUGGCGUCGUCCAUGGCCGCGCGGGCGGCACUCCACACGGCGGUGACGCGACGCAUGGCCAGGGCGCGCAAGCCGCUGCACACGGCGCCCAGCACAGCGGUCGACCGCCGGUUGCACAUGGCCAUGAUGUGGUCCCAGAUCUCGGGCGGCAACGCGGGCGCCGCAUCCAUUCACCCGGUGUGAUUACAACAACACACGCCGUUGGCGAAGCGCCGCCCACAGAGCACUCGCCCCAACCCUUGGGGUAUGAUGAGGCCGGACAAAGAAUAUGAGCAGACCCGGACGACGCCCAAAAAAAAGGCGGACGUGGCAAUAAAAAAC
rnacentral:lncRNA from 1 species